rnacentral:rRNA from 1 species
CCUACGGGGGGCUGCAGUGAGGAAUAUUGGUCAAUGGACGCAAGUCUGAACCAGCCAUGCCGCGUGCAGGAAGACGGCUCUAUGAGUUGUAAACUGCUUUUGUACGAGGGUAAACGCAGAUACGCGUAUCUGUCUGCAAGUAUCGUACGAAUAAGGAUCGGCUAACUCCGGUCCAGCAGCCGCGGUAAUACGGAGGAUUCAAGCGUUAUCCGGAUUUUUUGGGUUUAAAGGGUGCGUAGGCGGUCGGAUAAGUUAGGGGGUAAAUCCCGAGGCUCAACUUCGGAAUUGCCGCUGAUACUGUUCGGCUAGAGAGUAGUUGCGGUAGGCGGAAUGUAUGGUGUAGCGGUGAAAUGCUUAGAGAUCAUACAGAACACCGAUUGCGAAGGCAGCUUACCAAGCUACGUCUGACGUUGAGGCACGAAAGCGUGGGGAGCAAACAGGAUUAGAUACCCUUGUAGUC